rnacentral:rRNA from 1 species
AUGAACGCUGGCGGCGUGCCUAAUACAUGCAAGUCGAACGCAUAGCGAAAGGUGCUUGCACCUUUCAAGUGAGUGGCGAACGGGUGAGUAACACGUGGACAACCUGCCUCAAGGCUGGGGAUAACAUUUGGAAACAGAUGCUAAUACCGAAUAAAACUUAGUGUCGCAUGACACAAAGUUAAAAGGCGCUUCGGCGUCACCUAGAAGUGGAACCGCGGUGCAUUAGUUAGUUGGUGGGGUAAAGGCCUACCAAGACAAUGAUGCAUAGCCGAGUUGAGAGACUGAUCGGCCACAUUGGAACUGAGACACGGCCCAAACUCCUACGGGAGGCUGCAGUAGGGAAUCUUCCACAAUGGGCGAAAGCCUGAUGGAGCAACGCCGCGUGUGUGAUGAAGGCUUUCGGGUCGUAAAGCACUGUUGUAUGGGAAGAACAGCUAGAAUAGGAAAUGAUUUUAGUUUGACGGUACCAUACCAGAAAGGGACGGCUAAAUACGUG